rnacentral:rRNA from 1 species
CAAGUCGAACGAUGAAGCCCUUCGGGGUGGAUUAGUGGCGAACGGGUGAGUAACACGUGGGCAAUCUGCCCUUCACUCUGGGACAAGCCCUGGAAACGGGGUCUAAUACCGGAUAUUACCGCUGACCGCAUGGUCUGGUGGUGGAAAGCUCCGGCGGUGAAGGAUGAGCCCGCGGCCUAUCAGCUUGUUGGUGAGGUAGUGGCUCACCAAGGCGACGACGGGUAGCCGGCCUGAGAGGGCGACCGGCCACACUGGGACUGAGACACGGCCCAGACUCCUACGGGAGGCAGCAGUGGGGAAUAUUGCACAAUGGGCGAAAGCCUGAUGCAGCGACGCCGCGUGAGGGAUGACGGCCUUCGGGUUGUAAACCUCUUUCAGCAGGGAAGAAGCGAAAGUGACGGUACCUGCAGAAGAAGCGCCGGCUAACUACGUGCCAGCAGCCGCGGUAAUACGUAGGGCGCAAGCGUUGUCCGGAAUUAUUGGGCGUAAAGAGCUCGUAGGCGGCUUGUCACGUCGAUUGUGAAAGCCCGAGGCUUAACCUCGGGUCUGCAGUCGAUACGGGCUAGCUAGAGUGUGGUAGGGGAGAUCGGAAUUCCUGGUGUAGCGGUGAAAUGCGCAGAUAUCAGGAGGAACACCGGUGGCGAAGGCGGAUCUCUGGGCCAUUACUGACGCUGAGGAGCGAAAGCGUGGGGAGCGAACAGGAUUAGAUACCCUGGUAGUCCACGCCGUAAACGGUGGGAACUAGGUGUUGGCGACAUUCCACGUCGUCGGUGCCGCAGCUAACGCAUUAAGUUCCCGCCUGGGGAGUACGGCCGCAAGGCUAAAACUCAAAGGAAUUGACGGGGG